ACAAGAUUCGAAAGAGCAGACUUCGAUGGUUUGGACAUGUUCAGAGGCGAGAGAGUGAGUAUAUUGGUGGUAGGCUGCUGAGGAUGGAGCUGCCAGGCAAAAGGGCGAGAGGAAGACCAAAGAGAAGGUUUAUGGAUGUGGUGAGGGAAGACAUGAGGGCAGUUGGGGUUAGAGAGGAAGAUGCAGGAGAUAGGCUAAGAUGGCAAAAGAUGACACGUUGUGGCGACCCCUAACGGGACAAGCCGAAAGGAAAAGAAGAAGCUAGAUUUAGUGUAACUAUACAUACAUUACAAGCACGUAAGGGUCUCAUUCCAUUCAAAACACUAUUUGGGAGACCAUACAAAUUACCAAUAAUUUCCACACAAUGAGAGAUAGACGAAUGAUGAAGGAAAAAAAAACACAAGUGGGUCCCUUUCAGGAGUUAAGAACCCCAAACAGCUUAAAAAAUUGCAAAAAGGUGUACUAGAAUUCAUUUGUUGAUUGCAGGAAAGUUAUUCCUUUUGAAACCAUUGUUAACACAAACAAAACAAAUUUGUUUUUAUUGGCCACUUGUAAGAUAUCUGUUCUCAUUCCCACUGCCAAGGUCGCUGUAGUCCAGUUACACAUGGGAGUGAGACUGCUGUCAUAAUGGUCACUAAACAGUGACAUUUUGCUGUUGGGUGUUGGAUGAAAACGCUAUCCGUUAUUUUCAUUUUUCUGUUCGAGUGGUACCUGUGGGAACCACUCAAGGUCCCACCCCAAUAAAAUAAAAUAAAAUAAAAUAAAAACAAAUUGGAUAACUACAUAACUACUACAUAACUACAAAAAACGUGUCCAAAAGAUUGUAGUGUUUGCACAGAUCCAGAGAUAAUACCAAUGCUAUUAAUUGAUAACGAAUGCAAAAAAAAAAAAAAAGUUGGGGGAUUCUGUGUAUCCAUUAACUUCUUUUGAAAAACUAAAAAAAACGUGGUUUUCUAAUCGCGUGUCACUAGGAAAUUUCACAUGCAUCAAUUUGAUACGACUAGAAACAAAUUGGGAAUUUUAUCAGCAUUGAUGUGUGAAGCCAUUUAGGUGCCACUGUCAUGGUGGUGCGGCAGUAACUGUCUUUUUGUUUUUUUUUUUACGCCGGAUGCCUUUCCUGACUCAACCCUUCUGCAUUUAUUUGGAGAGAGAGCUGAAGCCAAUCCCAGCUAACUUCGGCCAGCGGCAGACGACACGCCGAAGUGGUCGCCAGCCAGUUGCAGUGCAGAUGUCGACACCAUCACUGCGGGAAUCGAUCCCACGCUGCCUUCACUCGAAAUGUCCCUCUGAGGCAAACCCGAACUACAACGUGGCCCGGAAGAGAAAUGAAUUUGACAUCCCUGCACUACACCAUCAAAAAAAAAAAAAAAAAAAGUAACAAGUUACUGUGCUUUAAUAACCUUAUUACUGCCAUUUGUUUAUUCAUCCUAUGUCUUUUUAUGAAUUAACAUCUACUGUACAUGCAGUUUUAUCGGAACACUGGCAUAGACUGAGCAAGAGCUGAAUGACAUGGACAAAAUAGCAGAAAGAAACACGUGGAUACACCUUACACACUGUAAAAGGUCAUCUCAGCUGAGUCACCCAAGGGGAAUGGUGAGCGAAGACCAGCAUACGGUGGGUGCAGAUUUAUAGUAUCUGAAAAUACCUGAAGGCUGGUGAAGAUUUAAAAGACACUUGACUCAUUUAGGGGUGACUUGGUCGAUAUUACUUCAAAAUGGCUAAAUAAUAUAAUAGCAUGUUGGGCUGGAACAUUGACAGUCGUUAUGAUAUUUUUGUUCAUAUGCUACUUUUGGACACCUGUAAAGCUGACAAAAAUACAUAACAACAGAACCAAUAAUUAUACUCAGUCAACUAUGCCUACCACACAUAAGAUAAAGAGGCGCAACUUUAUUUCAAGUAACUUUGGUAAACAACUAUGCGGGAGGCAUGAGGCAUGAGGGGAGGACUCCAUCUGUGCCUGCCAGUGAAUCAGUUCAGCACUUUUUCAAUUCCUUGGCAGAGUCUAAUUGCUGGGGAUUCCAUCUAUUAGCUUAUGCUAAAGGAAACCCCCACUUUCUUCUCACCAUUUGCCAAUUUAAUGCUUCCUUAAACCCAUUUGCCAUACAAAAGAGUACGUAUACUAUGGAGGGAGUAUUUUAACCGAAAAAGCCUGAGUAACAUUUUUUUAUUAUUAUGAUUAUCAUUUUUACAAAUAGGAAACAAAACUGGUUGUUAUUAAUGUAAAAUGCAGCUAACAAGGUAAACUAAAGUUACAUCACAUGCAUGGGCCCUGGGCCACUAAUGCGUGUAAUUCCAACAGAAAUCCCAACACAAUGUACCCCGGAGGUAAUGACUAAAACAACUCCCAACACCACUUGUCAAAAAUGGAAAAGGUUUUAUCCAACAACUAAGGCAGUAAAUGAUAAACUGAUAUUUUCUACUAAUGUUGCAUUGGCUAAUUUCUCCUGUGUUAGCUUUACAGGGACAGAUUUUAAGGUGGGAAGUCUCAACAAAACAUGGUGUCAUGAUAUCCAUCUGCAAACUGCCCCACUGCUCCCAUGCAGCGAUUUGUUGUGGUGGUGUGUUGGUCAAAAGUUGUAUGACACACUGAUAAAUGCAGCAGGAACGUGUACACUGGUAUCACUGCUAUUAUCUGUGACUGUGUUUCCAUCCAAAGCAGAGGAUAUACAAUUGGCCGCAUCCAUCUUUGGACCUCCCCUUGGGUUCUCCCGAAGGCAGAAGGUCCUCUUGGAAAGAUUGAGAUCGGACAUACAUUGAUGCAAAUGGCAUCCCAACUGCAUACCAGAUGAGUAUAAAUUGGUUAACGAGAUUGCUGCAGGAUGGGAAUCCAUCUUGUUAUGGAUAACUCUAAAUAAAAACGUUGACAGAAUCAACUACAUACAUUACAAUGUACAGAAACUAGGUAAUUAUACAGAAGCAGGCUUUAUUGCCAUAAGGGAACAACCAGCUGCAACCUCACUCAUGACGUUUCAGAACCGCAUAGCGAUCGACAUGCUCCCGGCCAAGAAGGGAGGCGACUGCUCAAUGUUCGGUGACCAGUGUUGUUUAUUCCAAAUAUCACAGCACCUGAUGGGUCACGCACAAGGGCCAUUCAAGGCCUCCGCACCCUGAACCACAAGAUGAAGGAGCACUCUGGUGUAAACACAUCACCCAGGUCUGAGUGGUGGGGGAAAAAAAAAGUUGGCAAAUCUAAAAAUUUGGUGUUUUUGAUCAUAUUACUUGCUUUUUUAAAAUAUUGUAUUUGUCAUUUUUAUUGUUUUUAUCCCAUUUUAAAUGUUUUAUCUCUUUGUUUUCAAAUGCCUUUAAUCAUGUUAAGUUAUCGUGUAUGAAAUGCGCUAUACAAAUAAAUUUGCUAUGCUUUGCUUUGCUUUACAAUGAUGCCUAUGACAGAGGCUCUGGCAGGUCCAAAACACGAGCCGUUUGAUCUUAAAGAUGUUGAUUGACUUGCUCGCUUGCCUCAUCUCUAGUCUGGUGGUAAUGCAUGGGUGUCUAGUUUUGUGGAAACUUUACAGGGGUAUACAUUGUAUGGGAGACUGGAGACAAGCAGCAUCUAGAUCAUGCACUCGUAUUGAACACCGAGAAAUCAAGACAACUGCAGGCCUUGCAAUGGACUCAACCCCUACCGACAAUCUUGGCUGGACAGACCUUCCACCAUUCGUUUAUAGCUGACACCGUCUCCCACUCUGGACAAUGGCUUAUGACACCUCUGCUAACCAGGGGAUGGAGGACGUUCUCACUGGCCUGUGGAAUUCUGGAGUCCUGGAAACAUCCACCUCCUCGUGGUGUACACCACUCAGGCCAGUUUUAAAAGCAGAUGGUAACACUUAUCAUAUGACGCAUGAUUUGAGAGCCGUUAAUGAUGUAAUGACCACACCAUUGUUACCUCUACCAGACCCCCACAGAAUGUUGUCUACCAUCACACCUGGUUUGAAAUACUUCACAGCGAUUAAUUUGGCAAAUGCAUUCUUCUGUGUCCUACUCGCACUCGAGUGUAGACACUUGUUUGCAUUCAGAUAUCAGGGACGCAAUUUGCAAUACACCAGGUUGCCACAAGGCUUCAAAAUUUCACCUGGAAUUUUUAAUCAAUGUUUGGAAUUAUUGCUACAGGAUCUAGAACUCCCAGAUGGAUGUAAACUCCUGAUGUAUGUUGAUGACCUCCUGUUGGCAGCCCCAACAGCAGAGUCGUGUUUGUCGCUAACUAAACUGCUGAACUCUCUGUCCAACCUUUGACUAACGGCAGGGUCCUAUUCACUGAUUGUUGCUGUUACCGUAAGCCGAAUGGCUCUUUGGCUGCGGCAGCUGCCGUAGUGGAGCAGCAACCCUCAGGUGAAUUUUUAACUGUUUCGUCUUCCGUACUAAUAUCUGCUCCCUCAGCCCAGGCACCGGAAGUCCUCGCACUCUGUCUCGCACUGGAACCGGCGGUCGGACAAUCUGUCACUGUCUAUUCUGACUCAUUUUACGCUGUCUCGGCUGCUAUGUUGGACCUGUUUGCCUGGAAACGGAAUGAUUUUAAUCCAGCUAAAAGUACCCCUAUUGCACAUUUGACACUGAUCCAACGAUUAGACAAAGCCUUGGCCAAACCUUCGGGAGUGGCUAUCGUCAAGGUCCCUGGCCAGUCCAAAUCCACUUCAACCACAGCCCUCGCAACAAUGCUGGCGACUUGGCUGCCAAGCAGGCUGCGGGCUAUGUCCGACAGAUGCUUGUCCAAUUAUUUGACCAAUCUUCUCCUGACCUGCCUGAAUCUCCGUCUCAUAGUGAAUUGGUUAAAAUACAGUACAACGCCUCUCCUGAACAAAAGAUAUUUUGACCAAAACUUACUCUAUGGCUCAUAUUGGCCGCAUAGCCAUGCUAACCAAACUUCACAUGUGGUGGCAUCCUAAAAUGUCUGACUUGUGUCACGCCCACUGUCGUGACUGUAAUAUUUGCCAGCUACACAAUGUUUGCCCUACACUUAAACAGUUGUCAGGUUCAUUUGACGCACCCACCUGGCCCGGUGUGGAACUGGUCAUAGAUUUCACAGACGUGAUCACUCCUGUUCAAGGUAAGCGCUAGCUUCUUGUUUUUGUUGACACCUUUUCCAAAUGGCCUGAAGCCUAGCCCUGCGCUCGCGAAGACGCCAUGUCGGUAAUGAAAGCUUUGGUGAACCACAGGAUUCCAACGUACGGUUUCGCUGCUCCCAUCUGAUUGGACAACGGUGCACAUUUCACAUCAACACAUCUAGCUACUGUAAAGAAGUGGUUAGGGUUAACUCACAAGUUUGGUUGUGUUUAUCACCCCGCCAGUCAAGGCUCAGUUGAACAUAUGAAUCGCACGUUGAAAGAAAAACUGACUAAAAUAUGUACCUCUUCCAUUCCUCUUCCUCUUCCAUUGGGUUUGGGCUCUUCCCCUUGCUAUAAUGUCUGUGAGAAAAACUGUGUCUCGCUGGUUUCUUUCCUUAUGAACUUCUUACAGGUCAUCUGACGCCUGGCCCUUCCAUCUCACUCCAACCGCUGGAGGAAGGCUGUGUUUGCCAAGUUUUCUCAUAAACUGUUUUGGACACAAGUGCAUUCUUUUGCUUCUAAUUUCCCUUCAUAGAUCCAGGACACUCUUCCAACACAACCUCCUGCACUUGAUCUUCCUGAGUGGUCAUCUGUCUACCUUAAACGACUCUCUCGUUAGUGGUCAGAACCCGUUGGUCUGGCCCCCACAAGGUGACUGCUCGUACCUCCAAAGCCGACCACUUGGAGGAAAAAGGAACUAAGUGGUUUCAUUAUUCUAUGCUUCGCCCUGCUACAGACUCUUAAUUGCACUUUUAUUUUAUUCUUCGUUGUUGUUUUAUUAGCCAUGAUUCCUACAGAUGGUCCGAUUGCUUUUUGGACCAAGAGAGGGAGAGCAGGAAUCUAUGGCAUUCUUAUUAUUGGUGUUAUUGUUCUUGGUAUUUUGGUCUGGGAAAUCGCUCAGAAAUACCCCAUACCCACAGCAACAUCAGUGCCAGCUGUUAGCACAACCCACCCGGAAAAUAUUUAUCACAGAGAAGAGUUGUAUUAUAAACAAAGCCCUAUCUGUUUGUGAGUGGUUUAGGGUUUUGACAGACGUUAGUGCAGUAAACAAUAAUUGGUUACUAAUGGCAGAACAGCGGCUAAUAAAACCCAGAGUGACUGUGUUGUAUGCAUGGGACCUAGACGUUUGUUACGUGUUGUUUCCUCUUCUGUCUACUCCACAACUGUUUUCUAGAUCUUGUGAAAAAUUAUGUGCUGACUAAAAAUGAAUGCAAAAUUUGGGAUACUGCCCACCCGGUAACACCAGCCCAAAAGAACAAACCUGUGUUGAAUCGUGCUGUGGCACGCCAAAACUUCACCUGUAUUUUCCUUAAAGAUAAUGGUGCCCCAAUAGACAAUAUCUCUGAUGAUCAGUGUGCAGAGACCCAGGAAACACCUUUCUUCCAACCUGUCAGCCAUACUGAUGUGUGGUGGUGGUGUGGAGGGGACCAUAUGUUCGAGCGCUACAGUACAGGCAGAUGUGCAUGAAUAACUUUACUUUUGCCUAUUUCCGUUGUUCCUCUCACCCUAGAUGAUCUGGCGGUUGCUCCUGAACACUUCAAUGAAGCUCUUGGCCUAUUAAACCGUUCCAGUAGGUCCAAACCUACCUGGCUCCGUGCUGACGACCCCACCUAAAUUGACGCUUUUGGCGUCCCCUGUGGUGUCCCAGACGAGUAUAAACUGGCUGAUCAGGUAGUUGCCAGUUUUUAAAAUAUACCUGUGAUUUCCGCUUUUUCCCCCGUUGCUCCUAACGAAAAUGUCGACCGUAUCAUUUACAUACAUUAUAAUGUGCAACGUUUGGGCAAUUUCCCCCUUGAAGGACUUGAAGCUGUACAUGAGCAACUUAAGACUACAUCUAUUAUGACUUUCCAAAAUAGAAUUGCAUUAGAUGCACUGUUGGCCGAGAAAGGAGAUGUUUGCCGAAUAACACCCAACCGGCGGACGCCUCACGAAGGCCGUACAUGGACAUAGAACAUUUACUAAUAAAAUGAAGGAACACUCUGGUGUCGACACGUCUAUGUGUGAUAACUGGAUGAAUGUGUUUGGUAAAUGGAAGGGUGUCAUUUCUUCACUCUUCAUCUCUCUGGCUGUCUUCACCUCAAUUCUCACCCUCUGUGGAUGCUGUUGCAUUCCUUGUAUUCAUUCUCUUUCGCCCGUCUGAUUGAGAAGACGACUGGUGCCCCAGCUGAUGGCCGCGGUAAUUAUGUCCUCAUUAGACCCCCGCCCCAACACACUCCUCAAGAUGAUUUUAUUGUUGCUAUCGCUCCCCCUGAAAAUGAUACUAAACUUCCACCGCUUCCUGAUUGUCAUGAUGUUGACAUGCCCCGUGAUUGCAUUGCCCUUCUGUUCUACUAAUACUUUUUGCGUGAUAUUACUUUUUUAGAAAUGUUUUGCUGUUUUUGAGUUGUCUAGUACUGUCCUGCAGGUUUAAAGCUCAUGGGUGUUCUGAAUCAUGAGGCUAUGAACUUGUUAAUAGGUAUGCUUGGACGAUUAGAGAGGGUUUUAUGCUUUCCAUAUUUCUUGAAGGGUUACUUUGGGGAUUUUCGUGAUUGGUUUGUGAUCUAUUUUAUAGAUCAAGAGAGGGAACAAAGACUAUUUUACUUUUAUUUCACUUUCAUUAUUUGCUUAAAUAUGACCUUAUACAUUUAAUCAACGAAUAAAGUGUUCCCCAUUUGCUAAUCAGACAAGGAUGUGUUGUGGAGCCGGUGGUUGUCCUUGAUCUUUGUACGCAGAAAACCGGCUGGCGCCAUCCUCCUCUCCCAGGCGUUGCCGUGGAGAUGAACGACACCAGAUAAGGAGCGGAA